AAGCUUACAUCUUCAAGAAAAUGUAGAAAAGAUUUUGCAAAAGGAACUCUCCUGUGGCAAUUGUGAAAACCAAGUUAAAUCAUUGACAAAAUACUGUAUAUUAUGGCGAAGCAGAUAUUACGUUUGGCCGCGAAUGGAGGUUGGUGCCAAGUAUGUGCUCAAUAUUCCUCUACCAAAGC